UACGUAGGUGGCAAGCGUUGUCCGGAUUUAUUGGGCGUAAAGGGAGCGCAGGCGGUGACUUAAGUCUGAUGUGAAAGCCCACGGCUCAACCGUGGAAGGUCAUUGGAAACUGGGUCACUUGAAUAUAGAAGAGGAAAGUGGAGUUCCAUGUGUAGCGGUGAAAUGCGUAGAUAUAUGGAGGAACACCAGUGGCGAAGGCGACUUUCUGGUCUAUUAUUGACGCUGAGGCUCGAAAGCAUGGGUAGCAAACAGGAUUAGAUA
rnacentral:rRNA from 1 species